CGGUAUAUUGACCGUGCGAAGGUAGCAUAAUAAUUUGUCCUUUAAUUAAGGACUAGAAUGAAUGAUUGAACAAGAAGGUAACUGUCUCUAAGUUAUAACUUGAAAUUAACAUUUAAGUGAAAAGGCUUAAAUAAGUUAAGGGGACGAUAAGACCCUAUAAAUCUUUAUAUUUGUUUUUAUUAAAUUAAGUAAUAAUAACAAACUUAGUUUAAUAAAUUUAAAUAUUUUGUUGGGGAGACAGAAGUAUAAAUAGUAACUGCUUUAAAAUUUAAGUUAAUAAUGUUUAAUAUAAAGACCCUGUAAUAUAGGUAUUAGUUUAAGUUACUUUAGGGAUAACAGCGUAAUUUUUUUUAAGAGUUCAUAUCGAAAAAAAAGAUUGCGACCUCGAUGUUGAAUUAAAGAUCCUUUACGGCGUAGGGG
rnacentral:rRNA from 1 species